rnacentral:piRNA from 1 species
UGGGGAGCAUCUCUCAGCGUAAGGAGUGU